ACCAGGUCAGGACACGGUAAGGAUUGACGGACUGAAGGCUUCUUUCUCGAUUCCGUGGAAAGUGGUGCAUGGUCCGUUUUUGGUUGGUGGAUCGAUCCGUCUGGUUAAUUCCGUUAACGAACGAGACCUCGGCACUCCGAAUAGCGCGGCGGACGUCGCGGCCUCCGGGCCGUCUUCCGCACGAGCUUCUUAGAGGGACUGUCCCCCGCCGGGGAAGGAGGUGCGAGGCAACGACAGGUCUGUGAUGCCCUUAGAUGUUCUGGGCCGCACGCGCAUUACACUGACGCGUCCAACGGGUGACUCCCGACCCGAAGGGGCCGGGGAAUCCGCAAGGCGCGUCGUGAUGGGGAUUGAACGUUGCAAUUGUUGUUCACGAACGAGGAAUUCCUAGUAGGCGCGGGUCAUCAACCCGCGCCGAUUACGUCCCUGCCCUUUGUACACACC
rnacentral:rRNA from 1 species